ensembl:lncRNA
GGGAGAUCCAGUCUGCCACGUCUAACCACUACGCCUGCACCUAUCUUUCAAGAUCUUUAAAAAGGAGUCAUUUCCUAUGGGACUGUUAGAAAUAGAAAAGCAGAAUUACAGAAGGUGGCCUGGUUAACAGAUGCAGAAUAUUCCCACUAUGGUCUCCACAAAGAAGUUCUAAAAUUGUCUGAAAUGAUCAGGUAUUGGAGAGUAACACUUCUGGAUGGGGAUUCACAGCAGCUGGCACCAUGGGAGGACUGAACAGAUAAUAACGAACGCCCAAGAAAGAAGGGUGCAUUUUCUCCUGUGUGGAUCUGUUGUUAUGGAUUCCGA